GACGAACGCUGGCGGCGUGCCUAAUACAUGCAAGUCGAACGCAGUGGGGACGGGUGAGUAACACGUUGGUAACCUCCCAUCAGACGGGAUAACACUUGGAAACAGGUGCUAAACCGAUACUGAUGGAUGGACCCGCGGUGCAUUAGCUAGUUGGUGAGGUAACGGCUCACCAAGGCCACGAUGCAUAGCCGACCUGAGAGGGUGAGGGGAAACAGUGGGACGGAGAAACGGCACAGAGUAGUACGGGAGGCAGGAGGAGGGAAUCGAAGGCAAUGGACGAAAGUCUGACAGAGCAACGCCGCGUGAGUGAAGAAGGUGUUCGGAUCGUAAAACUCUGUUGUUAGAGAAGCGGUAUCUAACCAGAAAGCCACGGCUAACUACGUGCCAGCAGCCGCGGUAAUAC
rnacentral:rRNA from 1 species